CUAAAUUCUAGCCAUUGUUUUGCAGAACGAAUUCUCCUCAAAAUCUUGUUUUCUCUGAAAAAAAAAGGUCGUCCUUCUACCAUUAUUCGCUUUUGCCUUUAGCCUAAUUCGUAUUUUCUCGUCAUCAAUAGUGGAGAAGAAAAUUCUAGAAGUUGCAACAAUUAUUUUGGAUGAAAAUCUAGCUGGGUUCGUCUUUCUUUAGCUCCAUAUAAGUAUUCAAUGGAAUGAGGAAACGAUCACAGGUUUCUUGCCGCGAGUACUAUUCUUACAAGUUACAAAUUAGGUCUUCUAGUAAGUCUGUGUUGCUUCAUACUGGUAGACUUUUUCAACAAUAUGUUGUAGAUAUGUAUGUUAAAAUUGAAACUGCCAGAUUAGACUAUUUUCGUAGCAAUCAGAAACAAAUUCGUGUUGAACUUUAUCAAGGUAUUGUGGAUAGUGUUCAAAAUGGGGAAACAAGAUGGUUAAAAAUUGGAAAGAAGAUUGUUCUACCACAAACUUUCACAUGUGGGCCUAGAGAUAUGCUUAAAAGAUAUUUAGAUGCA